GCUGGAAUGGUCUAGUUGGUUAUGACGACUGCCUAACACGCAGUAGGUCACGAGUUCGACUCUCGGUCCCAGUA
rnacentral:tRNA from 1 species